rnacentral:pre_miRNA from 1 species
UACAACGUUUAACGCUUUGUCUUAUUUAAAAAAAUUUAUAAUUAGUAUUUUUUGAUAGAUGAUAAAACAUGAAUAGUACUUUAUGCGUGACUAUUUUUUUCUCGUAAAUCUUUCAAAUAAAAUGGACAGUCGAACGUUGGACGCAGAAACCCA